UGAAGCCCAGAUAGCAGAACCAGACUUGCUCUUUGCAAGGAAGAGUUAGAAGUUGUUACUUAAAAACAAUGUGUGCCCUGCAGCUCUUGACAAUGUAAAAUCCAUCUCUUCCUGACAGGCACUUAAAGAAGAAGGGCAGGAUCCUGAUGAAAUUGGCAUCACAUUGGAAGCCACGAACAGGAAGACAGCAAAGAGAUGUGUUAAAGGCCUGCUCUUCACCAGCUAACAAGUGACUCUCAGGGUGCUGGAGGAGGACACCAAGUAAAAUUAAAAUACAAGCUAAAAACA